UCCGCCAGCAGCCAGCACUCCCAUGGCCCGCCUUUUACCGUUGGUGGCAGCCGCGGCCCUCCUGGGCCCGGCAGCCUCCACCGUUAUUUCCCGACGGCUGUGUGGUGAAGUGGAGGGUGACUUCUAUCAGUUUUCUGCUGACGUCUUGGGUACCAAUGAAACAAUAGACUUUGGAAAUUACCGAGGUCAGGUGGUGUUGGUAGCCAAUGUGGCCACCUACUGAGGGCUCACCAUCGCCUCAUAUACCCAAAUGAAUGCACUGGCGGAGAUCUAUGCAGAUCAGGAAUUCGUCAUCCUUGGAUUUCCUUGUAACCAGUUUGGUCUGCAAGAACCAGGGGCGACUGCCAAUGAGAUCAUUAACGGGAUCAAAUACGUACGUCCCGGAGGUGGCUUUGAGCCCAACAUGACCCUCUUUAGGAAGACUGAAGUCAACGGGGCUGAUGAAGAUCCCAUCUUCACUUUCCUAAAGAGCGGUUGUGAGUACACCGACACCGAAUACUCGUCAGGUCUCUACUACGAGCCUCUCACAAUCGGUGAUAUCCACUGGAACUUUGAAAAGUUCCUGAUUGACAAGACCGGCAAGCCAUACACCCGCUACCAUCCAACCGUGAUCACAACUGCUGCUCUCGAGGAUGACAUAAACACUCUUCUAAGUGCCUAAUGGUGCCAGCAGUCUGAUGUAUCCUUAGGAGCCCCUCACACCCAUCCACACGCAGCAACCCGCCUGUGACGCCAUCGCCAGAAACCUCGAGUGGGCGAUGUCUGAAAUCAGCAGGAGGGCGAGGGCUGUUGUGCAUUCUGGCCGAAGCUCUCCUGCUUGGGGGCGGCUGACGUGGAUGGGCGAGACGGCUGGGUGGGUAUCUGAGUGCUAGGAAGUUUGUUUUCCUAUACUGUUCAUGAAAUAGUAAAGUCUUUUCUCUAACAGAAA